ACCCCAGUGGGUAGCUCAGGCGGAAGAGCAUGAGACUCUUAAUUUCAGGGCUGUGGGUUUGAGCCCCACUCUGGGCA